UACGGAAGGUGCAAGCGUUGUUCGGAAUGACUGGGCGUAAAGCGCACGUAGGCGGUUUUGCAAGUCGGAUGUGAAAGCCCCAGGCUCAACCUGGGAACAGCAUCCGAAACUGCAGAACUUGAAUGCUUGAGAGGUUGGUGGAAUUCCAGGUGUAGGAGUGAAAUCCGUAGAUAUCUGGAGGAACAUCGGAGGCGAAGGCGGCCAACUGGCGAUGCAUUGACGCUAAGGUGCGAAAGCGUGGGGAGCAAACAGG
rnacentral:rRNA from 1 species